rnacentral:rRNA from 1 species
AUACGUAGGGUGCGAGCGUUGUCCGGAAUUACUGGGCGUAAAGAGCUCGUAGGUGGUUUGUCGCGUCGUCUGUGAAAUUCCGGGGCUUAACUCCGGGCGUGCAGGCGAUACGGGCAUAACUUGAGUACUGUAGGGGAGACUGGAAUUCCUGGUGUUGCGGUGAAAUGCGCAGAUAUCAGGAGGAACACCGGUGGCGAAGGCGGGUCUCUGGGCAGUAACUGACGCUGAGGAGCGAAAGCAUGGGUAGCGAACAGGAUUAGAUACCCUGGUAGUCCAUGCCGUAAACGGUGGGCGCUAGGUGUAGGGGUCUUCCACGACUUCUGUGCCGUAGCUAACGCAUUAAGCGCCCCGCCUGGGGAGUACGGCCGCAAGGCUAAAACUCAAAGGAAUUGACGGGG